rnacentral:rRNA from 1 species
GUGAAUCCCUUGGCUCAACCAAGGAAGGGCAUUUGAAACUGUCUGGCUUGAGUACGGGAGGGGGAAGUGGAAUUCCCGGUGUAGAGGUGAAAUUCGUAGAUAUCGGGAGGAACACCGGUGGCGAAGGCGGCUUCCUGGACCGAUACUGACGCUGAGACGCGAAAGCGUGGGGAGCAAACAGGAUUAGAUACCCUGGUAGUCCACGCCUUAAACGUUGGGCACUAGGUGUUGUGGGUAUUGACCCCUGCAGUGCCAAGGGCGAAUUCCACAGUGGAUA